rnacentral:rRNA from 1 species
CCCUUAGAUGUCCGGGGCCGCACGCGCGCUACACUGAUGUGUCCAGUAAGCACCUAACCUAUUCCGAGAGGAGCGGGUAACCUUAGCAAAGCACAUCGUGAUGGGGAUAGAUUAUUGCAAUUAUUAGUCUUGAACGAGGAAUUCCUAGUAAGCACAAGUCAUCAGCUUGUGUUGAUUACGUCCCUGCCCUUUGUACACACCGCCCGUCGCUCCUACCGAUUGAAUGUUCCGGUGAGCUCUUCGGACUGCGCGGUCUGCAGUUUCUGCGUUCCGUGCGGAAAGUUGUGCAAACCUUAACAUUUAGAGGAAGGAGAAGUCGUAACA